GGGGGAGGGCGGGAAGCGUGCGGACCCGCCCGGGUAAGCGUCGCCCCGGGGCUUGCCGGGAGACGUAGUCUGUGGCGCGCCCCGCGCCCCGUGCCGGCGCCCGCCCCGCUGCAGGUACCCAGCGGUGAGGAGUUACGCACCGCGGCCGUGCGUCCCGCGGGUUGUUGUCCCUCACCCGGUCAGGGCCUCGCUCCUGAAGGCUGGACGUCCCCGAGGGCUCUUGGAGGCUCGGGACGUGCCGCUUAUUGUUCACCCCUGCGAGGGCAGGAUCGUUACUCAGCUCCCUCCUAGGUCCUAGGUCUUGUGAUGAAAGCUGUGAACUUCACUGCGAGGGGCUAACGGAAGGAAACCCCAAGAGUUGGCUCAGCAUCUCCUUUCCCUCCGGCGACAUUCAAGACCGUGGGCUCAAGAAAUAGAGGCUUCGUAGGAGUGAAUCGUGACAACCAGUAACCUCUUAUUGAGCGCCUGCCUAAUGCAGCUGGGCGCUCACAGCACACAAAACUGUGGGACGGAGACGCUAUUAUCAUCCCCAUGUACGGAUAACAGCACCAAGUGUCAGUUAACGCCCUGUUCGGGGUCCCACAGCUAGUCUGUCGCUUUAUAAAGUUCAAGGCUGUCAUAAUAGUAAGGGUGAUGUGAGGACGGAGAGGCUGGCUUUGGACGACUGGCUGGAAAGAGUCCUGAGUAUUUUGUUUUCUUGUGCUCGAGGGAAAGAGGUCCACAGCUGUUGUGGCAAAUGUGGCCUUAGCAGCCGAAGAGCACGCAGGCAGGAUAUCCAGUACCAAGGCCUGGCCUGAGCUUCCCAGCAGAGCACAGAGAAGAGCCAUGGGUAAAAGGACUGCAGAAUUCCAAAGAAAUGAAACAAGUAUUUGGCUUCAAGUUAAGGUUUUAAGAUCAGGAGAGACACAGAUAUGUACCUGCAGCUAUUUGGUCAACUGAUCUUUAAAGAAUAUCCAAUGGAAAAAAGAGUCUCUUCAACAAAUCGUGUUGGUAAAAUUGGACAGCAACAUGCAGAAGAAUGAAAUUGGAUCGCUUUCUUAUACCAUACACAAAAAUAAAUUCAAAAUGGAUGAAAUACCUAAAUGUGAGACAUAAAACCAUCAAAAUCCUAGAGGAGAACACAGGGAGAAACCUCUUUGACCUCGGCUGCAGCAACUUCUUGCUAGACACGUCGCUAGAGGUGAGGGAACAAAACCAAAAAUGAACUAUCGGGACUUUGUCAACUGCACAGCAAAGGAAACAAUCAACAAAACUAAAAGGCCACCUACAGAAUCGGAGAAGAUAUUUGCAAAUGACAUAUCUGAUAAAGGGUUAGUAUCCAAAAUCUAUAAAGACUUAUCAAACUCAACACCCAAAAAACAAAUAACCCAGUUAAGAAAUGGACAGAAAACAUGAACACUUUUCCAAAGACAUCCAGAUGGCUUACAGACACAUGAAAAGAUGUUCAACAUCACUCAUCAUCAGGGAAAUACAAAUUAAAACCACAAUGAGAUGCCACCUCACACGUGUGAGAAUGGCUAAAAUUAACAACAGAAGAAACAACAGGUGUUGGGGAGGAUGUGGAUAAAGGGGAACCCUCUUGCACUGUUGGUGGGAAUGCGAACUGGUGCAGCCACUCUGGAGAACAGUUUGGAGGUUCCUCAAAAAGUUAAAAAUAGAACCACCCUACAAUCCAGCAAUUGCACUAGUAGGUAUUUAACCCGAAGGAUACAAAAUAAAGUAGAUAUUUAACCCAAAGGAUACAAAAAUACAGAUUCGAAGGGGCACAUGCACCCUAAUGUUUAUAGCAGCAUUAUCAACAAUAACUAAACUAUGGAGAGAGUCCAAAUGUCCAUCGUCGACUGAUGAAUGGAUAAAGAUGUGAUACACACACACACACACACACAGGAAUAUUAUUCAACCAUCAAGAAUGAAAUCGUGCCAUUUGCAAUGACAUGGAUGGAGCUAGAGUGCUAAGUGAAAUAAGUCAGUCAGAGAAAGACAAAUACCAUAUGACCUCACUUAUAUGUGUAAUUUAAGUAAGAAAACAGAUGAACAUAUGGGAAGGGAGAAAGGAAAAAGGAGGAAAGAGGGAAACAAGCCAUACAUGAUUCUUUUUUUUUUAAGAUUUUAUUUAUUUAUUAGAGAGAGACACAGCAAGAGAGGGAACAC